AUUGAACGCUGGCGGCAGGCCUAACACAUGCAAGUCGAGCGGAUGAAGGGAGCUUGCUCCUGGAUUCAGCGGCGGACGGGUGAGUAAUGCCUAGGAAUCUGCCUGGUAGUGGGGGAUAACGUCCGGAAACGGGCGCUAAUACCGCAUACGUCCUGAGGGAGAAAGUGGGGGAUCUUCGGACCUCACGCUAUCAGAUGAGCCUAGGUCGGAUUAGCUAGUUGGUGGGGUAAAGGCCUACCAAGGCGACGAUCCGUAACUGGUCUGAGAGGAUGAGCAGUCACACUGGAACUGAGACACGGUCCAGACUCCUACGGGAGGCAGCAGUGGGGAAUAUUGGACGAUGGGCGAAAGCCUGAUCCAGCCAUGCCGCGUGUGUGAAGAAGGUCUUCGGAUUGUAAAGCACUUUAAGUUGGGAGGAAGGGCAGUAAGUUAAUACCUUGCUGUUUUGACGUUACCAACAGAAUAAGCACCGGCUAACUUCGUG
rnacentral:rRNA from 1 species